UAAUAACAAUCAGAAUAAAUUAAAACAAGAUUUCCCUUUUAUCAGGGUAUUCUUAUUAAUACGGAUACUAACACGACCCAAAUAAGGAAAGAAAAAUCAAUCUGUGAGCAGAGUGACAAUUACCAUAAAAAGAAAUAGUAAAAUCAUACAGUAGGAAAUUAAGUCUAAUUAAGGGCUUAUAACUACUUUUGGAAAGGUUUAGUAAGGCCAAAAAAUGAAGGAGAAUCAAUUAACCCUUGACAGGCGAGUGAAGAAGAAUCAGAAUCUCACAAAAGGAAAAGUUUUGAAAUCAAUUACAAGUUUGAAAAUCAACCUCAGAAGAGACUCAAUAUAUAAAUGAGUAUACAAGCAGCAGACAUGUGAGGCCAAACUAUGGCAAAGGAAACAACAUACAGUAGAGCAAACAUUCGAAACAUACUAGUCAUGUAAGUCAGAUUUCAGAGAAAAAGGAUCAAAAGCAUGCAAGGAGUUGAGUAAGCCAUAGUCGAGUAUGGCAAGUAGCAAGUACUCAGAACUAAAGGAUUAUAUGCUGAAGUAAAGGAAUCAGACUGAGCAAUUUCAAUCAGACAAAGAAUUUCAGGAAUUCAAAUAGACCCCUAACGGACUAGGGCUUUCAAAAUAAAUCAAUUAGGUUUAGAGACGAUAAGAAGAUAAACACAUAAAUAGUCUCAGAAUAUCAAAUAAACACUACAAGUUAGGGUUUUCACCACUUAAGAAGUAAAUCAAACAAACAAUAGCAUGUAGACUUAGAAACUAAAAGAAAUCAUAAAAAUUACGGUUUUCGAUCACCAAUUAAACACAAGUAUGAUAAGAUGAUGAAUCAAAUGAAGCAUUAAAUGACAGGCUCAGAAACACUAAUUUAAAACCAAAGGGUUUUGGAAAGGAAAUUUGGGAAAAAUGCGUUAAACAUCACAUACAACAUAGAUCUAGCACAGAUCUUAAACAAAUAAACAAAAAAGAACCUUGGAUAGUCUAGGGUUUCUGAGAACCCUAAAAGAUGAGAAAGGCUUGGAAGAUACAAGAUCAUAGCUGAGUCGAUAAGGUCAGAACCAGGAUCAGGAGGCUAAGAAAUGCCGGAGCACGACCAGAAAUGGUUGAAAAACCUUGAAUCAAUAAAGGUCUAGGUGAAGAACCUCGAAGACUGGCCUCGAAUCAUCAGGAAUCAGUCAUGGGAGAGCAGUAAGAGGUGAGUAUAUGUCAUCCACGACAAGUGCGGCCAUGGAUUCCGGUGGGUUUGGGGGUUGAAAAGGGUAGGUGGCGAUUAGGGUUUUGAGAGCGUUUGAGAGAAGAGAGGAAUCAGAG
rnacentral:lncRNA from 1 species